rnacentral:misc_RNA from 1 species
AACGCACGAGACCUGCGGACCUGCGGAGGGAUCAUUACCGAGUUAUCCAACUCCCAACCCCUGUGAAUUAUACCUUUAAUUGUUGCUUCGGCGGGACUUCGCGCCCGCCGGGGACCCAAACCUUCUGAAUUUUUUAAUAAGUAUCUUCUGAGUGGUUAAAAAAAUGAAUCAAAACUUUCAACAACGGAUCUCU